rnacentral:sRNA from 1 species
AACCACAAUGAGAUAUUAUCUCACACCAAUCAGAAUGGCUAUUAUUAAAAAGUGAAAAAAAAAAAAAACAGAUGCUGGCAAGGUGGUAGAGAAAAAGAAACACUUUUCCACUGUUGAUCAGAGUGUAGAUUAGUUCAACCAGUGUGGAAGACAGUGUGGUGAUUCCUCAAAGACCUAGAGGCAUAAUAGCACCAUUUGACCCAGCAAUCCCAUUACUUGGAAUAUACUCAAAGGAAUAUAAAUCAUUCUCUUAUAAAGGUAUAUGCAUGUGUAUGUUCAUUGCAGCAUUAUUCACAAUAGCAAAUACAGUGAAUCAACCUAAAUGCCCAUCAAUGAUAGACUGGAUAAAGAAAGUGUGGUACAUAUACACCAUGGAAUACUAUGCAGCCAUAAAAAGGAAUGAGAUCAUGUCAUUUGCAGGGAUGUGGAUGGAGCUGGAAGCCCUUAUCCUCAGGAAACUAAUGCAGGAACAGAAAACCAAAUACCGCAUGUUCUCACUUAUAAGUGGGAGCUGAAUGAUGAGAACUCAUGGAUCCAUGGUGGGGAACAACACACACUGAGGCCUGUAAGAGGUGGGGGCAGUAGGAGGAGGGAGAGCAUUGGGAAGAAUAACUAAUAGAUGCUGGACUUAAUACCUAGGUGAUGGGAUGAUCUGUGCAGCAAACCACCAUGGCACCUGUUUACCUAUGUAACAAACCUCCACAUCUGCACACGUACCCCUGAACUUAAAAGUUGGAAAUUAAAAAAAAAAAACAACACAGAAAUCCCAUGUGUUUUUCAUCCCAACUAUCAAUAAUAAUUAUUGCCCUGGUGUGAGUCCAUCCUGCGCAGCUGUUCUCUUGAGCAGUGGUUGUUUAUCUCUGUCCGCCUUCUCUCCCACCUAAGGGUGUGCCACCACCCAUUCAAAGAUUCGAUGGACCUGGACAUGAGCCCCCUGAGGCCCCAGAACUAUCUUUUCAGUUGUGAACUAAAGGCCGACAAAGAUUAUCACUUUAAGGUGGAUAAUGAUGAAAAUGAGCACCAGUUAUCUUUAAGAACGGUCAGUUUAGGGGCUGGUGCAAAGAAUUGCACAUUGUUGAAGCAGAGGCAAUGAAUUGUGAAGGCAAUCAAUUAAGGUAACACUGGCAACUUUGAUGUCUGUACAGCCAACGGUUUCCCUGUGGGGCUUUGAAAUAACACCACCUUACGGUUGAAGUGUGCUUUAGGGCCAGUGCAUAUUAGUGGGCAGCACUUAGUAGUUGUGGAGGAAGAUGUAGAGUCAGAAGAUGAAGAGGAGGAUGUGAAACUCUUGAGUAUAUCUAGAAAGCAUUCUGCUCCUGAAGGUGGUAGCAAGGUUCCACAGAAAAAAGAAAAACUUGCUGCAGAUGAAGAUGAUGACGAAGAUGAAGAGGAUGAUGAUGAUGAAGAGGAGGAGGAGGAUGAUUUCGAUGAUGAGGAAACUGAAGAAAAAGCACCAGUGAAGAAAUCUAUACGAGAUACUCCAGCCAAAAAUGCACAAAAGUCAAAUCAGAAUGGAAAAGACUCAAAACCAUCAACACCAAGAUCAAAAGGACAAGAAUCUUUCAAAAAAACAGGAAAAAACUCCUAAAACACCAAAAGGACCUAGUUCUGUAGACGACAUUAAAGCAAAAAUGCAAGCAAAUAUAGGAAAAGGUGGUUCUCUUCCCAAAGUGGAAGCCAAGUUCAUCAGUUAUGUGAAGAAUUGCUUCCAGAUGACUGACCAGGAGGCUAUUCAAGAUCUCUGGCCGUGGAGGAAGUCUGUUUAAGAAAAUAGUUUAAGCAAUUUGUUAAAAAUUUUUUGUCUUAUUUCAUUUCUGUAACAGUUGAUAUCUGGCUGUCCUUUUUAUGAUGCAGAAUGAGAAUUUUCCCUGCUGUGUUUGAUAAAUGUUGUCCAGGUUCCAUUGCCAAGAAUGUGUUGUCCAAAAUGCCUGUUUAGUUUUUAAAGAUGGAACUCCACCCUUUGCUUGGUUUUAAGUAUAUAUGGAAUGUUAUGAUAGGACAUAGUAGUAGCAGUGAUCAGACAUGGAAAUGGUGGGGAGACAAAACUAUACAUGUGGAAUAAAACUGAGUAUUUUAAUUAAAAAAUAAUACUUAUCAAGCAACCAUGCUGAUAGGAACAGCUGAAUUAUAUUUCUCUUCUCUUCUUUUCUUUUUUUUUCUUUCGAGACAGAGUCUCACAUGGUUGCCCAGACUGGAGUGCAGUGGCGAGAUCUCUGCUCACUGCAAUCUCUGCCUCCUGGGUUUAAGCGGUUCUCAUGUCUCAGCCUUCCAGGUAGCUGGGACUACAGGCCAUGCCACCACACCUGGCUAAUUUUUGUAUUUUUAGUAGAGAUGAGGUUUUGCCAUGUUAGCCGGGCUGGUCUUGAACUCCCGACUUCAGAUGAUCCACCCACCUCGGCCUCCAAAAGUACUGGGAUUACAGGCAUGAGUCAUCGUGCCCAGCCAUAUUUCUGUUUUCUUUACUAAAUAAUGAUUUUAUAAAAUUCCUGACACACAGGUUUUGGCAUUCCUUCUCUGCAGUGUCAUCCUCUCCUAGAAUUUGCCUCUUAAGUUCCAGUCACUUUGGUAACCUAAACUCCAAACAGUGGGGCUUGUGUUUCCUAAUUGGGCUCUACUUUCCCAUCCUGCAAGCUGGGAAAUACCUGAGGAUAAAAAGCUGGAGUCAGGUGGAACUAGCCUCAUGUGACUCCUCUCUCAAGGACUGCAGUCCUUCAAGACCUGCCAUUGGUUGCUCUCUGAGGUCUUCAGACCAUUGUUUUACAUAUGUCCAGCUUUUACAGUUGUUUUUGGCAGAAAGUUUAGUCCCAGAGAAGCCACACUGUCAUAGACAAAACUUAAAAGUCCCCUUUAAAUUUUUUUUUUUUUAGACAGAGUUUCACUCUUGUUGCCCAAGCUGGAGUACAAUGGCACAAUCUUGGCUCACUGCAACCUCCACCUCCCGGAUUCAAGUGAUUCUCCUGCCUCAGCCUCCCAAGUAGCUGGGAUUACAGGUGUGUGCCACCACGCCUGGCUAAUUUUGUAUUUUUUUUAGCAGAGAUGGGGUUUCACCAUGUUGGUCAGGCUGAUCUCGAACUCCUGACCUCAAGUGAUCCAUCUGCCUCAGCCUCCCAAAGUGCUGGGAUUACAGGCAUGAACCACUGCACCUGGCCCCCUUUGAAUUUUUGAGGUAACAUGCACUAUUGAAUCACAGCACAGCCCACUUGGAUUUUAGAGCAAAUUCAUGCUUUUUUCUGUAGUUAACUAUUCUCCUUCUGAAAAAUAGUGCCUGGUCCUGGAGCAGACUGAAUGGCUGACCAGGGAACACUGAAUAAAUAUGAGUCCCACGCUGUUUCUUAUGAGUUGGAUAUUAAUUUGAACAAACCAAAUAUAAAAUUGAACAUGUACAGAAACAUCCCUUCUUCAAAUGUAAGUAAUAAAUGUUAUUUUAUUACGCUCAAGCAGAUCUCGAAGGAGCGAUUAAAUUGAGUGAGUAGGCAGCUCAUGCUCCCAUGACACCCAGUCUUGCUGUGUUGGCAACUUUCCAUCAACUCUAACAUAUGAUCUCAUGGGAAGUUCCCUAUAACCAAUUCCCUGACGAAUAAAAACAUUCAAGCCUGGUUUACAAAUGUUUCUUCAAAAUAUGCUGGGCCACCUGAGUGGACUGCUGCUGCAUUGCAGCCCCAUUUAGGAGGGCCCUGAAGGAUCGCCAACAAGGUAAAUCCUGCCAGUAGGCAGAACCUUUGGCAGUGCAUCUGUUUUUUCACCCUGAUGGGCCUGGUUCCCAGGUGUUCCCAGUACUCAACUUCGGAGCCUCCAGCUUUAACCCACUAUGGAAACAAUCAGCUGUAAUGGAUCAGGGGACUCCUCAACCACCUUCUACCUUAUGGGCAUCCCCUCUCUGCCAAAAUCCCUUUUCCUUCCUAUUUUCUUUGUCUUUCUCCUCCUCUACGUGCUCAUCCUGAUGGGUAAUACCUUUAUCCUGGUGGCUGUGGUGGCCAAGCCCAGCCUCCACAAGCCCAUGUACUUCUUCCUGAUAAACCUCUCCACCUUGGACAUUCUUGUUACCACAACCACUGUCCCCAAGAUGCUGUCCCUGUUCUUGCUUGGGGACAGCUUCCUCAGCUUCCCUGCCUGCUUCCUGCAGAUGUACCUGUUCCACAGCUUCUCCUCCUCAGAAGCCUUCAUCCUGGUGGUCAUGGCCUAUGACCGCUAUGUGGCUAUCUGCCGCCCACUGCACUACCCUGUCCUCAUGACCCCUCAGACCAACACUGUCUUGACAACCAGUGCCUGGCUCACUGCCCUCCUCCUGCCCAUUCCAGCAGUGGUACAGACCUCCCAGAUGGCAUUUGACAUCAUUGUCCACAUCUACCACUGCUUCUGUGACCACUUGGCUGUGGUCCAGGCCUCCUGCUCUGACACCACCCCCAGACUUUCAUGGGUUUCUGCAUCACCAUGGUGGUGUCCUUCCUCCCCCUUCUGCUGGUGCUUCUCUCCUAUGCCCACAUCUUGACCUCAGUGCUUUGCAUCAACUCCCAAGAAGGACGCUCCAAAGCUUUCUCCACCUGCAGCUCCCACCUCCUGGUGGUGGGCACCUACUAUUCAUCCAUUGCCAUAGCCUAUGUGGCCUACAGGGCUGACCUGCCCCUAGACUUCCACGUCAUGGGCAAUGUGGUAUAUGCCAUUCUCACACCUGUUCUCAACCCUGUCAUCUACAAACUGAGGAACAAGGAUGUCAAAGCAGCCAUCACCAAGAUUGCAUGUCCCCAGGAGCCAAAGAAUGCUAGGAAACCCUGAUUCAAAGAAAUAACUUCAUCUUCUCUCAUAAACAUCAAUAACAUAGAGGGAAAAGUGGAAAAUUUAGAAAUCCCAGUAGUUAGAACACUCAUUCUCAAAAUAUUGUCCUAGGUAGUCCUCCAUUAUAAUAAAAUGAUAAUUUUUUUCUUAAUUCAUAGAAAAAAGAGUAGGAUUUUUAAAUUCAAUUUUAAGGUGUGAACCCCAAAUUUCACAAGACUGUGAAUAUAAUUGAGGUCACAUUACCAUUAAUUCAAACAGUUUUGAUUCUUGCAGUUUCCAAGUAUUUGAUUAGGAAGAAACUCCGUCUUUUCCCUUGGAUCUUUUCUUUCAAUGUUUCUGAAAAUCCCUUGCAUUGCCGGCUAUUAGGUAUGAAUUAUUCUUGCCCUUUUUGUUGAAAUAGCAACUUAGAUAGAAAUAUUCCUCAAUGGAAAAACUCUGAAACUGCUCCCAUCUGAAUCCUUGUUGCUUGAAAAUUCACUGCCACCACUGAUUUUCAAUGCCAGACACACAGGAAAUUUGCCUCUGCUAUCUAGACCCGCAUGAUGCCCUAGAAGCAGAGCAUGCCCCUCACCCAGCUUAUGCUCAGGCAAGCAGUGUCCCUUAGCACACCUGUUUGGGUAAAAAACAUUACAGUUAUUUUAAUUAUCAGCACACCAUAGUUUCCCCACGGUGGCUAAGUAGAGACACUGGGUGGCUGAGUGGAGAAUUUUCUCCUUAUCAGAAGUAUGCUGUUCCUGGGGCCACCACCCUUUCUCAAAAUAUGGUCCUAGAUAUUCCUCUUUCUGCCCCAAGUGGCAAGCCCAGGCUCCUUUUUCCCUUCUCCUAUGGCAAAUUUCCUCUUGAAGACCUGUCAGGUUUGUCCACUGAGGGACAUGUAAAACAGUGAAAAGUGUUAAGGGGGAACCCAGGUGACAAAUAUCCUCAUCUUUGGCUCUUUACAGAUAGAGUCCCAGUUUUUGUCAAUCAAGGCAAUACUGUUAACCAUUUUCCCAUUGCAUAAGACCCAAUGUAAAUGGGAACUCAAUGGGUGCAAUUCAACAAAGGAUGUUAUUUGUUCCUGAACUCAGCUUUCAGUGAUCUCAGAGAUCCUGCUAUGGUCAGAAAGGGCUUCCCAAAACAGGGUGAUAUGAAGGCUCUGAGUUUCCUUGUUUACUGACCCUGGGCAGCUGGGAUUGGGAUUCAUGUACUUUUAUCUAAACAUUACUAAUUCUGCAAGAUAUUUAUUUCUCAUUCCUUGAAACUUAUGUCUAAAUGUCAGUGGGACCACAUCCUCAAGGUCUAAAGGAGAUAGCCUAAUAAGUCGCCUUGCCCCUGAGUUGCAUGCACUAUCAGAAUUAACCUAAGGACGUAGAGGGGAAAUUUUUUUUUACUGUCAACUCCACUACCACCCAAUAAACAAUUCCCAGAGUACUCCUGUGUUACUACCAAAGUUCUGUUUGGGGUUUAUCUGUUCAGAACUUCCCUUCUGGUAUCGAUUUCAGUUUCAGGUCAGGGCUUUGGUUUGCUGUGUCCCCAGAUCAUGACAUCUUUUCAUCUUUAGCUCCCCUUCUAGAUGAACAAAGAAUUAAACACAUAUUAAGUGAAUGGUAGGGAUAUGGAAUCUCAGGCUAGUUCUACCCUCACUCAAUAUUUUCCUGUGGUUUCUCCUAAACAUUUGUCAUGAGUAGACAUGAAAUCAUAGCAACAACAACAAUGUUUCUCACUUGUAGCUAUACCUGCUAAUUGGUAGUCUCUCAGUAUUUCCCAACUAAGAAAAAAUUGCCUCAACUUUUGUACAUCAAAGGACACUAUCAAGAGAGUGAAAAGACAACCCACAGAAUGGGGGAAAAUAUUUGCCAAUCACAUAUCUGAUAAUAAAUUAAUAAUAAUUAUUAAAAUAAUCAAUA